CUAUUUAUUCCUUCAUUUCUGAGUUGUGUUUUCCUGAUUCUUCAUGGUCCAUGUAGAUGUGUUGAUGUCUGUGCAACUGAAGGAACAAUCACCUCUUCCAGUAUUUAUAGACUGCUUUUUGCAGGGUGUUUUCAGGUCUGCAGGCCUGCCUCUGUGAGUACAGAUGGGUUUGUCUCCAGUGUGUGGGUACACCUGCCUGUGGACUGAGCUGAUCAGGGUUGAAGCUAGGUCACAGAGAUGCUUCAGGAGUUGAAGUUGGAACUGCAGUCAGCCAGCCUGUUACCCAAGAGACAAGCAGGUAAGGCUCCUCCAAAGUCCCUUAGUAGACAAUGCUGAUAGAGGAGCCAGAACAAAUGGGGCUGUGGCCAAGCCUAAAUAAAGAGAGUGUUAUCUCUAUGUGUGUAGCUAGAGCCACUGCAACUUGGGUGCAAGCCUGAUGUCUCAAAAUGGCCCUACUUGAUCUUGGACUCCACUGGUGUUUUGCAGUCUCCUUUCUGUAUCUCAAAGUCCCCACAAAGGUGUUUCUAUCCACUGAUGGUUGACAAAUUAUUGUUGUUAUGGGGGGAUAUGAGUGGAGGUUCUCCUAUUCUGCCAUCUUACUGAUGUCACUCCUGAAUGUAUUUUUAUGAUUUUCACUUACACAUGGUUUUUUGAAGAUGCUUUAUAAUAUUAAAAUAAUGUGUUCAAUUAAUGAAUAAAUGACACUAUAUAAUUCAUUGACUAUUAGGUCAUAUAUUAGAGAAGAUAUAGUAAGAAGUUAGUCUUAAAAUAUGUAUUACAUUUUCAGAAAAGUAUUCCAUUUGGGUUCCUAGAGAUUCUAGAAAAUUCCAUAAGUUGUUCUUAAUACUUGAUGGGAAGGCAUCAAUUAUUAACCUAUUGCAUUAUGUAUGAAAG
rnacentral:lncRNA from 1 species